ACUCCUACGGGAGGCAGCAGUGGGGAAUAUUGCACAAUGGGCGAAAGCCUGAUGCAGCGACGCCGCGUGAGGGAUGGAGGCCUUCGGGUUGUAAACCGCUUUCAGCAGGGACGAAGCGUGAGUGACGGUACCUGCAGAAGAAGCACCGGCUAACUUCGUGCCAGCAGCCGCGGUAAU
rnacentral:rRNA from 1 species